rnacentral:rRNA from 1 species
CAGUCGCCGCGGUAAUACGAAGGGGGCUAGCGUUGUUCGGAAUGACUGGGCGUAAAGGGCGCGUAGGCGGUUUAUACAGUCAGAUGUGAAAUUCCUGGGCUCAACCUGGGGACUGCAUUUGAUACGUAUGGACUUGAGUGGAGAAGAGGGUCGUGGAAUUUCCAGUGUAGAGGUGGAAUUCGUAGAUAUUGGAAAGAACACCGGUGGCGAAGGCGGCGACCUGGUCUUUAACUGACGCUGUGGCGCGAAAGCGUGGGGAGCAAACAGGAUUAGAUACCCCUGUAGUCCCUGUCUCUUAUAC